rnacentral:tRNA from 1 species
GGUGAGAUGGCUCAGCUGGUAAGAGCACCCGACUGCACUUCCAAAGGUCCUGAGUUCAAAUCCCAGCAACCA